rnacentral:lncRNA from 1 species
GUGCUGUAUGUCAACCUCAUCUGAUCGUAUCAAAGAUCUUUCAAAUUUAUUAUUAGAGAACCCUAUUGAUUGAUCUUGACUUUAAUUCGAUCUGUGCUUCACAAUUUCUUGAUCAAGUCACUUGAAUCUGACCCUCAGAUAAGAGAUCCUGAAUUGCCCUGGUAUCUGGAUGGUCCGACACAUCUGGACAACAGUCCUCUUUCC